UGCCCACCAAAUCCUACCCCUACCUCCGCGUGGUACAAGCUGGAAGCUACGACCAACCUUAGGGAAGAUCAAAUAACCAACCUCGAUGGGAACUUUGAUCGUUGGCUGACAGGGAUGG
rnacentral:ribozyme from 1 species